GUUGGAGCAGAAUGUCCCAAAGGGAGCAAACCCCUGGCUCAGUUUGAUCUCUUCCAGGUGAAUUUUGCAGCUGAAGGCAUUCUGCCACGAAGCAGCUACACCUGAGGAUGUGCUGAUCUCCAUCUGCUGCAGCCGGGCUCCUCCGCUGCGAUGCACGCUGCCGGCACUUGCACAAGAAAACUUGUUCUGCGUCUUAAUCGAUGCCCCUUUGCUCCGUGAGUCCACUCGGGAGCUGCGAGUCAGCUUAUUAUGGAAAAGCCAGGGUUGUGCUGAGCUGCGACGGGACAGAAUUGGAUGCAGAAACUCAAGUGGAAGAUGUUGCGGUGAAGAGAGGCUGUAACACCUCUGGUUGUUCUGCCUCAUCCUUCCCGGGGCUGUGGGACCGUGGCUUCUCCAAGGUGUGUCCGGAAUGCGUUUAAACAGAGGCCCGUGUUCGUGGGAAUGCCCACGGUGUUUAUAAACGCGCCGGGGACAUUUGUUUGGAUACGUGACUGCAAGUGCCGAUCCCUCUCCAGGGAUUCCCGUGCCCGUGGAAGCAGCUGAGAUCCACCCGGGACCAUUUUCUCCCGGAGGAGCCAUCGCAGCCCGCAGAGGCACCCACCCUCCUGUAUGCUGACUCAGCAACAUUUGCAAAACCGGCUGUCACCGGCGCGGAGACGUCUCCCUGCAGCUUUCCACCUGCCCGCUUUUGUUAUUAGAAAGCCUUUUUCAUCUCUGUGUGCCUGUUUUCUUCCUUGCAGCAUUGCCCAGGAGCCACGGGCAGGAUCAAGCUCUUUUUGCCCAGCAUCCUUUGCACAGACAUCCGGAGUAACGAGUGAUGGGACGAGAGGAAACGGCCUCAAGUUGCACCAGGGGAGGUUUAAAUUGGAAAGGAGGGAAAAAUUCUUUACCAAAAGAGCAGCGAAGCCCUGGCGGAGGCUGCCCAGGGUGGUGGUGGAGUCUCCAUCCCUGGAGUGGGUCAAACAACGUGUGGCUGUGGCGCUUGGGGACAGGGUUUGGUCGCCACGGUGGGGUUGGGCUGAUGGAUGGACUGGAUGAGCUCAGAGGGCUUUUCCAAUCUUAAUGAUUCUGUGGCUCUAGAACACCAGCAGCCGUGCCCACGCUGGAGCUGCUGCUGGCAGCGCAUCGGGUCCCUCCUCCCUCUCCCCUGCUGGAGGUGACCAUCUUCGGAGGUGACCGAGCUAUUCCCAGAGCAGGAAUCCUUCGUCUCCUGCUCUUUGCUGUCUUUGCUCCCCGAGACAGGGGCGCAGUGGAGGAGGCUUUGCUUGGCUGCAGCUCUCCUUGCCAGGCAGAGACCAGAUGAUGAUUAAAAAGCCGAUGUGCUACAGCAGAACUUGUGCCAGAGCUGCAAAAAAAAACCCAAAAAGGUGUUUUCCGUGCAGAACUGCCCUGAGUUCAGCCCAAUCCCACCUCCAGGCUGUUAUUUGCAAGGCCAGGAGUGGCACCGAGCCCCCAAAACGCAGCUGCUUGGAGGCACAGGGUAAUCCUGGCACAGCAGCAUCCAUCAGAGAGCGAGGUGAUCUCUUGGAAUCCAAGGGAAUUGUUAAUUCCAUGGCAGCGAUGGGUUCGCUCAGCUGAUUUAUUUAACCCUGCCAGGCAAACACCUCACCCAUCGGAAGGAACCGAGCAGAAAGGUUAAGGGACUUACCCAGGGUCGUCACACUCGGCUGUAGCCCAGCAGAGCAGUGGAACCCGGGGGCUCGCGAGUCACAGCCGCUUUUAACCCAUCCUUCAGGUUAAAACAGGCAGCCUGGUGCUGCUGGAGCUGGAGCUGGUGGCCUAGCACCCACUCUUUGUUCUCUGUGUAAUUAAAAAGCUCGUUAAUGCUUACUAUAUUCUCCUCUCUGGGUCCUUCUGCAUUGCAAUCAGGUCCCCUUCCAGGCUCAGACAGGUUGAUCUCCGUACAUGUCUCACGGCAAAGCUCCUUCUCCAACAUCAAAUCAUUCGGGUGCUCUCCCCCUGCUGCUCCCCCUUCCCUUCCACCCUCCUGGAGCCCCAGAUUCCCAAAGCACACUCUGCAAGCUCAGCCCUGGACCACUACAGGUGCAGCGACACCAAAAUCACCCUUGUUUUCUUCUCCCCACCCGACAAUCGAGGUGGGACAAAGAGGCAGAAAACCCUCCGAGCUGCCAAAACCAAGGCUGAGCAGGGAUCGCGUGCAGGCGGGUCAUUAGACCAGUAUCUUUAAUUGCCGGGUCUCUUAUUUUGCCUGUGCCCAAAGAGCUAAUCCCAGGUGAUUACAAUGGACAAUGUCAUUUAAAUCAAUUAUCUCUCCAUUCAGAGCCAUCCAGCCUCUCCUUCAUUCACUGUACAUCCACGAGACCCAUAAUUUAUUCAUCCUGCGCUGCACUUAAACAUCUGCUCCGGUGCCAUGUGAGUUUGGCAAAGCCAUUAGCUUUAAAAUUUGAUGAAACACAGUGCAGGUGGCAAAAUCAGGAAUUAAGGAUUAGAGCAACGGCAAAGCAGGGCUGUGAGCGGGACCUGACCGCGCUCCCCUCGGCUCAGGAAAGCUUGGGGGGGAUUUCAUGCCCGUCAGGCAUGCAAAUCAUCUAUUUUUCCCCAAUUUCCCAUUUCUGAAUGACAGAUUGGAGGGAUCUUUA